rnacentral:rRNA from 1 species
ACAUCCAGCGAACUUGGCAGAGAUGCCUUGGUGCCUUCGGGAACGCUGAGACAGGUGCUGCAUGGCUGUCGUCAGCUCGUGUUGUGAAAUGUUGGGUUAAGUCCCGCAACGAGCGCAACCCUUAUCCUUUGUUGCCAGCGAUUCGGUCGGGAACUCAAAGGAGACUGCCGGUGAUAAACCGGAGGAAGGUGGGGAUGACGUCAAGUCAUCAUGGCCCUUACGAGUAGGGCUACACACGUGCUACAAUGGCGCAUACAAAGAGAAGCGACCUCGCGAGAGCAAGCGGACCUCAUAAAGUGCGUCGUAGUCCGGAUCGGAGUCUGCAACUCGACUCCGUGAAGUCGGAAUCGCUAGUAAUCGUGGAUCAGAAUGCCACGGUGAAUACGUUCCCGGGCCUUGUACACACCGCCCGUCACACCAUGGGAGUGGGUUGCAAAAGAAGUAGGUAGCUUAACCUCCGGGAGGGCGCUUACCACUUUGUGAUUCAUGACUGGGGUGAAGUCGUAACAAGGUAAGCGUAGUGCU